GUGAUGAAAAACCUGCAAAAACAAGAUAAAUUAGUUAGAAAGACAUGAUAUAAAAACAAUAAAUUGAUAUAAAGUUUGGUGUUUAUAAGUUCAAAGAGAUUAGAGAGAGGUUGGAGAGUUUAAGAAUGAGAAACAUUACAUUUUUAUUGCAGACAUUUGAGAGGAAGAGAGAGAAUGUGUAAAUUUUUCUUUAUAUAGGGAGACAAAAAAAUACAAUUAGGUUAAAUAUUUUUGAUUCAAAAGACUUUCAAGUAAGUUU
rnacentral:lncRNA from 1 species